GGAGGUGUGCUCUGGCACAAGAAGGACAUGGACGUAUCAGAAUGAGUGCAGAUGAGGGCUAUGAGGAUGAUCAGGGGGCUGGAUUACCUCUCCUCUGUAGACAGGCUGAGAGAGUUGGGGUUGUUCAGCCUGGAGAAGAGAAUGCUCCAGGGAGACCUUACAGUGGC